ACAACCUCAACUCAUAUGGGAUUACCCCCUGAAUUUAAGCAUAUUAAUGAGGGGAGGAAAAGAA
rnacentral:rRNA from 1 species